UACGAAGGGGGCUAGCGUUGCUCGGAAUCACUGGGCGUAAAGGGUGCGCAGGCGGACUGGUUAGUCAGGGGUGAAAUCCCGUUGCUCAACAACGGAACUGCCUUUGAUACUGCCAGUCUUGAAUUAGGGAGAGGUUCGUGGAAUUCCGAGUGUAGCAGUGAAAUGUGUAGAUAUUCGGAAGAACACCAGUGGCGAAGGCGGCUCACUGGCCCGGUACUGACGCUGAGGUGCGAAAGCGUGGGGAGCAAACAGG
rnacentral:rRNA from 1 species